GAUGAACGCCGACAGAAUGCUUAACACAUGCAAGUCUUUGGCGAAGCUGUGCUUGCACAGCCUAGCCAAGGCGGACGGGUGAGUAACGCGUAAGGAACUUGCCCUGCAGUCAGGGAUAACAGACGGAAACGACUGAUAAGACCUGGUAAAGUCAGGCGGACUCAUGUCCAGCCUGAUGAAAAGAGAUGCUGCAGGAGAGCCUUGCGUCCUAUUAGCUUGUUGGUGGGGUAACGGCCCACCAAGGCGAUGAUAGGUAGCCGGCCUGAGAGGGUGGACGGCCACAAGGGGACGGAGAUACGGCAGCUACUCCGACGGGAGGCAGCAGUGGGGAAUAUUGGACAAUGGGGGCAACCCUGAUCCAGCAAUGCUGUGUGCACGAUGAAGGUUUUCGGAUUGUAAAGUGCUUUCAGCAGGGAAGAAAAAAUGACGGUACCUGCAGAAGAAGCGACGGCUAAAUACGUG
rnacentral:rRNA from 1 species